rnacentral:rRNA from 1 species
CCUACGGGAGGCAGCAGUGGGGAAUUUUGGACAAUGGGCGCAAGCCUGAUCCAGCAAUGCCGCGUGCAGGAUGAAGGCCUUCGGGUUGUAAACUGCUUUUGUACGGAACGAAACGGUGAGCUCUAAUACAGUUUGCUAAUGACGGUACCGUAAGAAUAAGCACCGGCUAACUACGUGCCAGCAGCCGCGGUAAUACGUAGGGUGCGAGCGUUAAUCGGAAUUACUGGGCGUAAAGCGUGCGCAGGCGGUGAUGUAAGACAGAUGUGAAAUGCCCGGGCUCAACCUGGGACCUGCAUUUGUGACUGCAUCGCUAGAGUACGGUAGAGGGGGAUGGAAUUCCGCGUGUAGCAGUGAAAUGCGUAGAUAUGCGGAGGAACACCGAUGGCGAAGGCAAUCCCCUGGACCUGUACUGACGCUCAUGCACGAAAGCGUGGGGAGCAAACAGGAUUAGAUACCCUGGUAGUCCACGCCCUAAACGAUGUCAACUGGUUGUUGGGUCUUCACUGACUCAGUAACGAAGCUAACGCGUGAAGUUGACCGCCUGGGGAGACGGCGCGAGUAGAACGUAAGAGAGUAGUAGACGCGAGGAGAGCGACGGACGGACGACGACGGAGGGAGGAG